GUAGGUGGCAAGCGUUGUCCGGAAUUAUUGGGCGUAAAGCGCGCGCAGGCGGUCCUUUAAGUCUGAUGUGAAAGCCCACGGCUCAACCGUGGAGGGUCAUUGGAAACUGGGGGACUUGAGUACAGAAGAGGAAAGCGGAAUUCCAAGUGUAGCGGUGAAAUGCGUAGAGAUUUGGAGGAACACCAGUGGCGAAGGCGGCUUUCUGGUCUGUAACUGACGCUGAGGCGCGAAAGCGUGGGGAGCAAACAGGAUUAGAUACCCUGGUAGUCCACGCCGUAAACGAUGAGUGCUAAGUGUUAGGGGGUUUCCCGCCCCCCUUAGUGCUGCAGCUAACGCAUUAAGCACUCCGCCUGGGGGUAGUACGGCCGCAAGGCUG
rnacentral:rRNA from 1 species